AAUACCCUCCGCCUCCUCCUCCCCUGGCCGCCACCGCCCUCUUCGUUACGCGCCGCAUCGGAUUAGGCCGCAGCGCCCGCCGCCCGUCGUCGACCCCGAUCUAAGCGCGCCGCCGGCUUGCUUACUCCCCGGCCCAUCCAUAGCAUGACCAGUGGGUUGCGCGCCGUUGCUUCAACUGGAUCCCACCCCAACCAGGUCGCCCUCGCCCGCCUCCUUCCCCAAUCUGACGGCAACAGCGCCCGCCUCACCCCUGCUCGAUCCUUUGUUUGCAAGGCUCAGUAUUUAUGUUUGUCUGAACUUCCCCAGUAAGAUACCAGAGACAUUUGGAAGGAAAGUAAUCAAUGGAAGUUCUAGAAAAAGUGAGGCUUAUUCUUCAGAUUUUACUAAUGGAGGAGUUGUUGGCAACUUACUGUGUCCAUUAGCAUUAAACCAAGCGUUGGAGCAUGCUAAGAUGGGCGCUGGGCCGAUUCAUGCUGUUAAGCAGGGAUGAAAUAUAUGCUGGAAUCAAACUCCAGGCAUAUGAUAUCAUCUGAAAGCAAAAUGGCAUGUCCUAUACUUCACACAUUUGUCUUACUAUUGACAUGCAGAACUGCUGACCUGAGUGCCAGAAUUUGAAGGUCUGAGAGACGCCCUCUUGCCGGCCUGGUUGCUGCUUUGUGUGUAGAUGAUCUGUCCACGCUUACCAUCAUAGACGAUGAUCUAUUGACAUGCAGAACUGCUGACCUGAGUGCCAGAAUUUGAAGGUCUGAGAGACGCCCUCUUGCCGGCCUGGUUGCUGCUUUGUGUGUAGAUGAUCUGUCCACGCUUACCAUCAUAGACGAUGAUGGUGCAGCUCGGAUCUCCCCUGCCUUUAUAACUUAUGGACAGCACCUCUGCCAUUUCCCGUCCGAAGGACAGCAUCGGAGGAGAACACAAGGUCUUGAGACCGAUUCUCUCUCUUUCUCUCACUUUAAACCCGGCCUCAAGAUUAUGACUCAUUCCCUAAUCUGUACGAGGCAGUAGGUCGGUUAGUUGUUGUGACAUUACAGGUACCAAGGUUCAUCUAUAUAUUCAUAGGCAAUAUCCUUUUGGCAGAA